CACGUAGGGUGCGAGCGUUGUCCGGAAUUAUUGGGCGUAAAGAGCUCGUAGGCGGUUUGUCGCGUCUGCUGUGAAAACUCGGGGCUUAACUCCGGGCCUGCAGUGGGUACGGGCAGACUAGAGUGCGGUAGGGGAGACUGGAAUUCCUGGUGUAGCGGUGAAAUGCGCAGAUAUCAGGAGGAACACCGGUGGCGAAGGCGGCUACCUGGACCGGUUCUGACGCUGAUGCGCGAAAGCGUGGGGAGCAAACAGG
rnacentral:rRNA from 1 species